GGACGGUGAUGCUUUAGUUCUACACACGAGAUUUCUGUCCGAACCUUCGGGCCCUGCGGACAACGUAACCUAAUUGAGUCC
rnacentral:snoRNA from 1 species